rnacentral:lncRNA from 1 species
GAGAACUGAAGGAGAAGUCUAGAGAAGCCAGCUACACCUACAUUAGAAAGAGUGGAACAGAUCACGGGUCACAGGAUUAAGGCUAGAUGGGGUUUGAGAUGUGGGAAGACUUGAGGUCAUUUUGAGUUUUGAGAAAAGGAGAGACAUGAAGAGGCAGAAAACAUGUUUACUGGACCCAGCUACUUUGCAGUGAUUAGUGGGACCUUCAGAACAUAAAUAGAUCCUAAGGAGUGAAUGCUUGUACCCCUUCCAAAAUUUAUAUGCUGAAGCCUUUAUAUGGUUGUAUGUAAAGACAGACCCACUAAUGAAGUAAUUAAGGUUAAAUGGAGUCAUAAGAGAGAGGCCCUAAUUCCAUAAGAUUAGUGUCCUUAUAAGAAGAGACUCCAGAGAACUCACUUUCUCACUCUCUCCCUCCCUUUCCUUGCAUACAAACCAAGGGAAAAUCAUAUGAGAACAUAGCAAGAAGGUAGCUGUCUGAAAGCCAGGAAGAGAGGCCUCAGCAGGAAAUGAAUCAGCAAGAACCUUGAUCUUGGACUUCUAGCCUCCAGAAUUCUUACAGUCUAUCAUGGAAUGCAGACAAGUCAACAGAUCUUUAUCUUUCAUUAAUAAUCGAUAUAGAAAAUAUAAACAUAAGGUGCCAUGGAAGAAUAUCUUCAAUCAAAUCCAGCAAAAUACCUGUUCUCUACGCUAGGUGCACAGGUGUCUUGACUCAUUGCUGCCACACAUUGGCCACUCUCAUCGAAUUCAGAGGACUCAUGGAAACCACACACCCACUAGCUGUUCCCUCAGAAGCCCCUGAAUUACCAACAAAAAGCUGGUUCGUCUCGGCUACUGAGAAAUAAUUUGUCAUGUUUCAUCCCCUAAAUGAAAGAUGCCAGACUGAAUGCCCGUCUGAGAAAGGGACAGAGCAUGAGAUCUAACAAAGAACCUCAGCACUCAAAAAGUUUACCACUAAAAUGGAGUGACAAGGAAAGCAGGGGAAGAAAAAUCACUACUGGAAGUACUGCUACUAUCACCACUGCUCCUGGGAGGAAUCACCGCAGCAGCUGUUCAUCAAGUGCUUCCUGCAGCCAAUCACUAGGCUAAAAGCACCUGACAUGCCACAUCACAGCAGCUUGCUAACAAUAGCUGCUGUGAUUCUCACUUAACAAUAAAAGUGUGGCUCAGCGAGGCCAAGGAGCUUUUUCAAAAUCUUGUCACUAAUAAAUCUCAGAGUCCAGGCUUGAACCCAUGUCAACCUGACCCUAACGCCUUGGUCUUCACCUGAGUGCUUGCUAUGUGCCAGGCAUUGUCAACAGUACUUUAUAUUAAUUGUGUCACUUAAUUGUUAAACAGCCCUAUCAGUUCUCCAUCAAUAUUCCCUGAAGGGAAUGGGGCCUUGGAAAGAUUAGUGAACUGGACCCCUGACAUGAUCUCUUCCUUCCAAUACUUACAAUAAACUACUGUUUAGUAUGGAGAAGAAAGACUAGUGGAUAUUGAAGAACUGGCAGAAUAAACACUUGCAUAGAUGGAAGAUGUACAGAGGAUGUAUGCGAUACAGGACUUUAAAGAAUGCUGACAUCUUUGUGGCUGAAAUUAAUUGGAAAUUUUAAAAAAUCCGUCCUGGAAUUUGGCACAUGUAUGGGAUAUGGAUAGAAAAUAAGAGCAAAGAGGAAUUCAAGAUAAUGAGGCAAUAUAAACAAAAGUUGAAAAGAGAAAAUGAGCAUGCAGUGCCUAGAGAUGCCAAGGAAUCCAGAUCACUGAGGUCGGAUAGAUGUGUCUUUCCAGAAUUUGAUGAGGUUAACCAGGUAGAGCCAGAUGGUAGAGAUCCUUGAAUACCAGGCAAGGGAGUUCAUCUCUCCACCUGUAAGCAUGAAGGAGCCACGGGAGAUUUUGCAAAGGGAAUGACCAAAACGAAAAUGGCAUUUAGGAAAUGAGUUUGCCAGAAGUACCUGGGAGAAAUGGGGACUAGGCACUGAGAAUGUAAUUCAUAGCACAGCAGAACAGAUACUAAAAGAUCGUUCUGGAAGCAGAAGGGCUGGUUUCCAGCUUUUCUGAGGUUGUUUCACUGUGGGUAACUGCUAAGGCCUUCACCCUUGAUGCCAGAGGUGCUGAAACACAUUGCCACACGGCGAAAGAAGUGCCCUAUUGGCCCAAACACAUUGAAUAAACAUCUACCUCAAACCUU